GGUUCAGCUAUUAUCACCUGCCAGCAUUGUGGCAAAACUGAAUGGUCGAGAAGAGAUAUGCAAGGUAAUGAUUGUAUCAAUCUGUCAGCACCCGUUGUUUGUGAAUGAAUGCGCUUUAAGUACGUUUUUCACUAUCAAACGCAUGGGUUUUUUACUUUUUGGCUGGCUCAACAUGUAGGCGGAUCUCGACGAAGUGUGUGCAUUGUAUCUGGAUGCCAAGUCAUCGGCCAAGCUACUUCAGGAUCAGCAGGAGAAGUACAUUUCGUGAUUUUCGAACUUCAUAUCUGAAGUAGCAAUUUUUUGUUCGCUAUCAAUGUCAUAUUUUAUGCUGGACGUGAUAGGGUUUUCCCUUCUGAUUAAAGAGCACUGGCUUCAAUCUGUGGGCUGGGAAUGCAGUUGUAAAGGAAAAUGAGUUAAAUUCUAACAGUUCCACAGGUGGAUUUGCAUGAACUUUCCAAUGCAAUGAUAUAUUUGCGCUUUGCC
rnacentral:lncRNA from 1 species